GAUCAUGGCUCAGAACGAACGCUGGCGGCAUGGAUUAGGCAUGCAAGUCGAACGAAGCAGCAAUGCUUAGUGGCGGAAGGGUGAGGAACGCGUGAGUAAUCUGCCCUCAAGUUGGGAAUAACAGCUGGAAACGGCUGCUAAUACCGAAUGUGGCUGUUGGACCGCAUGGUCUGACAGUUAAAGAUUUAUUGCUUGAGGAUGAGCUCGCGUCCCAUUAGCUAGUUGGCGGGGCAACGGCCCACCAAGGCGAUGAUGGGUAGCUGGUCUGAGAGGAUGGUCAGCCACACUGGGACUGAGACACUGCCCAGACUCCUACGGGAGGCUGCAGUCGAGAAUCUUGGGCAAUGCGCGAAAGCGUGGCCCAAGCAAUGCCGCGUGCGUGAUGAAGGUCUUCGGAUUGUAAAGCGCUGUCAACCGGGACGAAAGAUGACGGUACCGGUGAAGGAAGCCACGGCUAACUACGUGCCAGCCGCCGC
rnacentral:rRNA from 1 species